GACGAACGCUGGCGGCAUGCCUAAUACAUGCAAGUCGAACGCGGCCAUCCGGUGCUUGCACUGGUGAAGCCGAGUGGCGAACGGGUGAGUAACACGUGAGAAACCUGCCCUGGAGUGGGGAAUAACUCGAAGAAAUUCGAGCUAAUACCGCAUACCUUCUCUUCACCGCAUGGUGAGUUGAAGAAAGAUUUAUCGCUCUAGGAGGGUCUCGCGGCCUAUCAGCUAGUUGGUGAGGUAAUGGCUCACCAAGGCAUCGACGGGUAGCUGGUCUGAGAGGACGAUCAGCCACACUGGGACUGAGACACGGCCCAGACUCCUACGGGAGGCAGCAGUAGGGAAUCUUGCGCAAUGGGCGAAAGCCUGACGCAGCAAUGCCGCGUGCGGGACGAAGGCCCUAGGGUCGUAAACCGCUUUCAGUAGGGACGAAAAUGACGGUACCUGCAGAAGAAGCUCCGGCCAACUACGUGCCAGCAGCCGC
rnacentral:rRNA from 1 species